GAUGAAGAACGUAGCAAAAUGCGAUAAGUAGUGUGAAUUGUAGAAUUCAGUGAAUCAUCGAAUCUUUGAACGCACAUUGCGCCCGCUAGUAUUCUGGCGGGCAUGCCUGUCCGAGCGUCAUUUCAACCCUCAAGCCCCCGGGCUUGGUGUUGGGGAUCGGCGAGCCUCCGCGCCCGCCGUCCCCUAAAUCUAGUGGCGGUCUCGCUGUAGCUUCCUCUGCGUAGUAGCACACCUCGCACUGGGAAACAGCGCGGCCACGCCGUUAAACCCCCAACUUCUGAACGUUUGACCUCGGAUCAGGUAGGAAUACCCGCUGAACUUAAGCAUAUCAAUAAGCGGAGGA
rnacentral:misc_RNA from 1 species